CACACACACACACACACACACACACACACACACACACACACACACACACGCCAUUCCUUUGAGCUGCAGUAGGGGACCUGCACCAUGCCUACGAUUACUCACUCUCUCUCACUGAGGAUGUCUUUAGUAUCUUCUGAGGCCACUUUUUUCACACCAGUUAGCAGUGCCAUAUUGAGGGGAUAGUUCAAAACCACCCUCCCCACCUCUCCCGGUUGCUCAUAGACAGAAUGAUUAGUGUUACUGGGACUGGCCGCACUGGCAUAUUGAUUUAGGUCAGGAGGUUGGUUUUGGCUGAUAUGCUGCCCCCGGAGACAAAGCUGUCACUCAGUCUCGCCAGACUCACUGACAUAAUGGCCCAUACUUUGAGACUGAUUGCUCCAAGCUCGCUAUGCUUCUGCUCAUCUUUAACAGAAUGAUGGCUACUUUAGCUAAAUACAGAGAGUAUCUGUGUAUUGAUCUGCGCUUGGAGGUUGCAAGUCUGAGAGCAAAAAGUGUACAGACCGUAUGGCUCGUCCAUCACAGGAACAUAUUUGGUGCUGAUAUGGAUUUCCAAAAUGGACCCGACAUUGACAAAUAAGUUCGACUUUCACUGUGACUUAACUACACAUUAACAUUAGCAUAUGCAAUUUACAAUGCAAACUUCACUGACCGCCCUGGCUUGGAGGCCAACUCAUGCUAAAGCAAGGUUUAAUUUCAUUUCAGGACUUGGCGCCCCCGAGACGUACGCCAGCAAUCUGUUGCUGUCCGCGAGGGAGAGGUGCUGAAAGACUAACUGCUUGCGCGGCCCCGCGUAAGUCGGAUUCACAUGUUUCAACAGAGGCAGCACUCUCGGUGCUCGUGCCCGCGUCCUGGCAGGCUGCGUCGUGUUUGUCUCUCUCCUCCUACAAGCGCCAAAGACUGUAGUUCGUGUUGUUCACCAAAUAUUCGUCUCUCUUUAGUGUCUUUGUCUUAGUCGUGGGCAUUCCGAGUAAUUUAUUUAUGCAGUAGCCAAUCCCAUACUCAAUAUUUAUACAGGCUGCAUCUUAAGGGGAAAGCGCAUUAAAAUGAAAUAUGCAAACGGUAAGCGAAAGAGUCACAUCGCCGCAUGUGGUUGCUUUUUGUCCUCCACUUAUAAUAUUUAACAACCGUUUUAAUUAUAUUGUUGCUAUACUACACGAGCCAACAUUGUUGAUUUUUUUUUUUAUGAGAUACCGUUUCUCUGCAGUAAAAACAACGGAUAACACAGUCACCUCCCCACACAAAGACACAGCUUAUUUUUAGACAUCAGUCUAAGGCCAAGCAGGUCGCGGUUGCAUGCUAAUAUCAUCUAUGCCGCGUUUGACUUUCGUAACCAACCAAGUCAGCAGCUAUUCUGUCAGUUACAUUGCAGUCAUUGACAAACUGUUCCCACAAGUGCAUUGGUUUAAUCAAACACGCGCAGUUACUUUCCCCUGGGAGGAUGAUCGGGGCUAUGCCGCUAUUGAGUCAGCGUUGGUACAGAAGAAGACAUCACGGGGCAUUUCAUCCAAGCACACAUUUAUUGCAUGGAAAAAGCCAAGGGACGGUCCAGUGCUGACUUCACAGAUGAACCGUUUUUUCCUGAGUUUGUCUUUUUUCACCUCCUCCUCUCAUCCUUCAUCCUCCUUUAAUUUACCCUUCUCUGACCUGACAGGAGGGAUCCGCAUCUAUGAGGACACAGAAGCAGGCGGGCGUAAUCUAUCGAAAACAUCAACAGUUAAAUGGCACUAAGAGAAGGACUGGGAACAUACCGUGGCCAGAAUACUUGCUUCCACUUAGAGGGCCACACGUUCCGUGUACCUAGAGCACAGUGGAGGCUCCUCGCCGUCUGUGUUAAUUGGCGGGGCCAGGCGGGGCGGGAGAUGCGAUAUGAAGCACAGCUUGACUGGACGGUCCAGCCUCAGCAGAAGAAGAAAAGAAGGAAGGAAGAAAGAAAGAAAGAAAGAAAGAAAGACAAAAAAAAAAGAGAAAAUCACAUCUGUGUGCGGCUCUCUCUGCAGCUCAGCCAGGUAGAGAGUCGGGUGUGAGAGAUAAUCACAGAGUUAGACAGUGAGGAAAUUGAAUUUGAAUAGCUGCUUAUUUGCCUCACCUUCAUGACGGUGAAGCUGAGCAAGUAAUGUCACUGCACUGAAAUGCUGGACUAAAAGAGACAGGAAGAGAGACAGACAGAGAGAGCAAAAGGGAGAAAUGCAGUUGUGUACAUGCACCCAUGAACGUAAGCAUUCAGUUUCAAGUAUACACAAAUUGUGUGUGUGUGUGUGUGUGUGUGUGUGUGUCUGUGUGUGUGUGUGUGCUACACAUGCAGCCUAUAUUAUAUACGGUUACUUAUAUGUUAAACAACAUCUAAACGUGCUAUUCAAAUGUAUUCCUUUGCCAUGAUAAUAAAGCCUGAUGAACAAAAACAAAACAAAAAUACAGAUAGCUAGAAACAGGCAUAGCUAUUAGUCCAGGCAAAAUAGCGUUUUAUGACAGACUAAUUGUAAAAUAAUUUUUUUCAGCAUAGAUCAUUUCUAUGAGGUGUCCAGAACAACAUACUAAAAGUCCUAAGAA
ensembl:lncRNA